rnacentral:rRNA from 1 species
UACGUAGGGUCCGAGCGUUGUCCGGAAUUACUGGGCGUAAAGCGUGCGCAGGCGGCCCGCGAGGUGUCACGUGAAAGCCCCGGGCUUAACCUGGGAAUUGCAUUUGAUACUCUGGAGCUUGAGUACGGGAGAGGAGAGUGGAAUUCCCAGUGUAGAGGUGAAAUUCGUAGAUAUUGGGAAGAACACCGGUGGCGAAGGCGGCUCUCUGGACCGUAACUGACGCUGAGGCGCGAAAGCGUGGGGAGCAAACAGG